UACGUAGGGGGCAAGCGUUGUCCGGAUUUAUUGGGCGUAAAGAGCGUGUAGGCGGCCUUACAGGUCAGCUGUGAAAACUCGAGGCUCAACCUCGAGACGUCGGUUGAAAACCGUAAGGCUAGAGUCCGGAAGAGGAGAGUGGAAUUCCCGGUGUAGCGGUGAAAUGCGCAGAUAUCGGGAAAGAACACCCCGUGGCGAAGGCGGGCUCUCUGGGACGGUACU
rnacentral:rRNA from 1 species